GCUGGUGGGGAACGGACGUGGUCCAGGACCGGGGGCCAGGCAGCAGACGAGAGGGGAUUUAUGAUCAGACAAGACUGCAUCCUGUUUAUGUUUUCCAGAGCCUGUCUGACUAAGCGAGAGGGAGAGGAAGAAAAGACAGAGGAGCACAAUUAUUGCAGCAGGUUUGCUUUCUCGGCGAGAUCGGCUCCGACGUAUCCGUGAGCGGCGUCCGCCAGCUGCGUCAGCUGCGCUGCGAUGGCACUGCACGGCACCGGACUCAGCUGCUUCUGCAGAAUGUCAGCCCGCUCUGCACUGCCAGGAACUCCCACCUGAACAGAAGACGGCCGGGAUCACAGGGAGGAUCUUUGCUUUCAUUAGAGCACAAACAUCGCCCCAGAGAUCCAACCCACAGCGUCUGAAGUGCAUCCAGCCUGCAGAGAUGGUUUCUGCAUGACAAUCUACAUUCCUGAUGAGGAAUCCUGACAGCAGCAGGAAGUCUGUGUCUACUGAACCAGCACCUCCUGGUCCAUGGGAAGAGAACAACCUCAGACUGAAAAACUUAGACAAAUUCUACCUUAAUUUAGUAUUUAAUCAAUAACUGUUGAGAAGCAACUAGAGUUGGGAGGUAACUAGUUACAUUUACUCGAGUAAUUUUGUUAAAAAAAUGUACUUUCAGAAGUAUUUUUUUUUACUGUGCUGUUUUUUUUACUGUUAGUUGAGUAAUUUUAUUAUGAAGAAAAACUACUCUACUUUGAGGAAACUUUCUGAAUCUUCUGUCACUGUGAGUAAUUUCCCUCCCAAAGCUCUGUGGAAACAGAUUUUUUUAAAUACUGAAAUAUUUUAAAUAAAAAUCAGGUGGUCUCUACAAGAAAGCUGAGAAUUGGUCAUUAUUGAGUCUUUCAGGAUAUUUCAAGAGUGGCAACAAGUAUCAAGAAAAGGUUCACCAGACAACAAAACCUUCAUUUUUUCCAAGGCAACCAGCUCAGAUAUAAAUACAUAUACUUUUUUUAUUUCUCAAUAAACACAGUUUUUCUUUAAUGUGUUCAUAUCUCUAAAAGCUUCUCAUUGAAAAAUGCCCCC